rnacentral:rRNA from 1 species
GACGAACGCUGGCGGCGUGCCUAAUACAUGCAAGUAGGACGCAGUUGCGAACGGGUGAGUAACGCGUAGGUAACUACCUAUUAGAGGGGGAUAACUAUUGGCAACGAUAGCUAAUACCGCAUACUAGUAGAUGGACCUGCGUUGUAUUAGCUAGUAGGUAGGGUAAUGGCCUACCUAGGCAACGAUACAUAGCCGACCUGAGUGGGUGAUCGGCUACACUGUGGUUGAGACACGGCCAGGACUCCUACGAGAGGCAGCAGUAGGGAAUCUUCGGCAAUGGGGGGAACCCUGACCAGGCAACGCAGCGUGAGUGAAGAAGGUUUUCGGAUCGUAACGCUCUGUUGUUAAGGAAGCGGUACUUAACCAGAAAGGGACGGCUAACUACGUGCCAGGAGCCGCGGUAAUUC